CCUCCGCCUGCUAAAUAGUCUGGCAAUCCACGGAUUGUGCGGACUUCUUAGAGGGACUAUGAGUGUCGAGCUCAUGGAAGUUGGAGGCAAUAACAGGUCUGUGAUGCCCUUAGAUGCUCUGGGCCGCACGCGCGCUACACUGGUCGAUGCAACGAGUUUCUUUCCUUGGCCGACAGGCCUGGGCAAUCUUUGAACAUCGAUCGUGAUCGGGAUAGAUUCUUGUAAUUUUUGAUCUUAAACGAGGAAUUCCUAGUAAACGCAAGUCAUCAGCUUGCAUUGAUUACGUCCCUGCCCUUUGUACACACCGCCCGUCGCACCUACCGAUUGAAUGGUCCGGUGAAAUCUCCGGACUGGCGUGAGUCGGAGCAAUCUGACAAACACCGGAAAGUUGAUUAAACC
rnacentral:rRNA from 1 species